UAUGGAGGAUGCGAGCGUUAUCCGGAUUUAUUGGGUUUAAAGGGUGCGUAGGCGGGAUGCCAAGUCAGCGGUAAAAAUGCGGUGCUCAACGCCGUCGAGCCGCUGAAACUGGCGUUCUUGAGUGGGCGAGAAGUAUGCGGAAUGCGUGGUGUAGCGGUGAAAUGCAUAGAUAUCACGCAGAACUCCGAUUGCGAAGGCAGCAUACCGGCGCCCUACUGACGCUGAGGCACGAAAGCGUGGGUAUCGAACAGG
rnacentral:rRNA from 1 species